UACGAAGGGGGCUAGCGUUGCUCGGAAUCACUGGGCGUAAAGGGUGCGUAGGCGGGUCUUUAAGUCAGGGGGGAAAUCCUGGAGCUCAACUCCAGAACUGCCUUUGAUACUGAAGAUCUUGAGUUCGGGAGAGGUGAGUGGAACUGCGAGUGUGGAGGUGAAAUUCGUAGAUAUUCGCAAGAACACCAGUGGCGAAGGCGGCUCACUGGCCCGAUACUGACGCUGAGGCACGAAAGCGUGGGGAGCAAACAGG
rnacentral:rRNA from 1 species